rnacentral:rRNA from 1 species
CCUACGGGUGGCAGCAGUGAGGAAUAUUGGUCAAUGGCCGAGAGUCUGAACCAGCCAAGUAGCGUGAAGGAUGACUGCCCUAUGGGUUGUAAACUUCUUUUAUAUGGGAAUAAAAUGUUCCACGUGUGGUCUUUUGUAUGUACCAUAUGAAUAAGGAUCGGCUAACUCCGUGCCAGCAGCCGCGGUAAUACGGAGGAUCCGAGCGUUAUCCGGAUUUAUUGGGUUUAAAGGGAGCGUAGGUGGAUUGUUAAGUCAGUUGUGAAAGUUUGCGGCUCAACCGUAAAAUUGCAGUUGAAACUGGCAGUCUUGAGUACAGUAGAGGUGGGCGGAAUUCGUGGUGUAGCGGUGAAAUGCUUAGAUAUCACGAAGAACUCCGAUUGCGAAGGCAGCUCACUGGACUGCAACUGACACUGAGGCUCGAAAGUGUGGGUAUCAAACAGGAUUAGAUACCCGUGUAGUC